GCCCUUGAAUGGCGAAGCCGCGAAAAGCUCAUUACAACAGCCAUAGUUUAUUGGAUCUUUCCUUCUUACACGGAUACCUGCGGUAAUUCUGGAGCUACUACGUGCAUUAAACGACAACCUCACGGAAGUCGUGCAUUUGUUAGAAAAAACCAAUCGGUCUUCGGACCGUCCAUUUGGUGACUCUGAAUAAUUCCGCUGAUCGCACAGUCUCGUACUGGCGACAAAUCCUUCAAGUGUCUGACUUAUCAACUUUCGAUGGUAGUUUAUACGACUACCAUGGUUGUAACGGGUAACGGAGAAUAAGGGUUCGACUCCGGAGAGGGAGCCUGAGAAACGGCUACCACAUCCAAGGAAGGCAGCAGGCGCGCAAAUUACCCAUUCUCAGUUCGAGGAGGUAGUGACGAAAAAUAACGAGUCGGCUCUCUACGAGGUCCGACAUCGGAAUGAAUACAAUUUAAAUCCUUUAAUGAGGAUCUAUGGAGGGCAAGUCUGGUGCCAGCAGCCGCGGUAAUUCCAGCUCCAAUAGCGUAUACUAAAGUUGUUGCGGUUAAAAAGCUCGUAGUUGGAUCUGCGCCAGGUGGAAGCGGUCGCCCGAUGGGUUGUUACUGCUUACCUCUGGCUAACCAUUCGGUUUUCCCUUGAUGCUCUUAAGUGAGUGUCCUGGGUGACCGGAACGUUUACUUUGAAAAAAUUAGAGUGCUCAAAGCAGGCAUUUCGCCCGAAUAUUCGUGCAUGGAAUAAUAAAAGAGGUCCUUGUAGCCUUUUAUUGGUUAUCGCUACGAGGAAAUGAUCGAAGGGGACAGACGGGGGCAUUUGUAUUGCGACGUUAGAGGUGAAAUUCUUGGAUCGUCGCAAGACAAACUACUGCGAAAGCAUUUGCCAAGAAUGUUUUCAUCAAUCAAGAACGAAAGUCUGAGGUUCGACAGCGAUCAGAUACCGCUUUAGUUCAGACCGUAAACGAUGCCAUCUGGCGAUCCGCCGGCGUUAUGUUUGACCCGGCGGGCAGCCACCGGUAAACCUUUAAGUUGGGUUCCGGGGGAAGUAUGGUUGCAAAGCUGAAACUUAAAGGAAUUGACGGAAGGGCACCACCAGGAGUGGAGCCUGCGGCUUAAUUUGACUCAACACGGGGAAACUCACCCGGCCCGGACACCGUAAGGAUUGACAGAUUGAGAGCUCUUUCUUGAUUCGGUGGGUGGUGGUGCAUGGCCGUUCUUAGUUGGUGGAGCGAUUUGUCUGGUUUAUUCCGAUAACGAACGAGACUCUAGCCUACUAAAUAGACACUGCUUCUUUGGAGCGGUGAACUUCUUAGAGGGACAAGCGACGUUUAGUCGCACGAGAUUGAGCAAUAACAGGUCUGUAUCCACC
rnacentral:rRNA from 1 species